CAGUGCCCGUUUCCACUCUCAGGCUCUUAAUGGAAAAUUCAAAUAGCACCAAACCUGGGGCACUGGGGAACCCUGUUGCACCGGUGCCGACUUCAGCAGCAAACAUCACCUUUUACUUCUAUUUGCUCUUUUCAGGAGCAGCAGAAGCCCAAGGAGGAGUGGGGGUUGGAUUUGACUUUCCAAGGUAGUGCUCAUACUCCAGGGGAUCCGAGAAAUCUGGAGUGCCCAGCUUGGACUCUCCACCCUGAACACAACCUUUCCAAACUGGAGUUUUAGGAAAGAAACGGAGCUCCCCCUGCAAAAAAGCAUUUCCAGGAAUGCAGUCAGAAAGCACAACCCAGCAGCAUCAGCCUCUCCUGCUGCUGUUCCAACAGUUCCAGUUGGACCUGGCUGUCUUCCUGUCCAUGCUCCGAGUAAAUUGCUCAGAAACCAGCCAGAAAUAAAUGGGGAGG